AAUUUGACCUUUUCCGGCACGUUACCGGACAGCCGAGUGAAUCAUGCAGGUUAGGAUUCGCCGACAGGGACGUCGGCGAAAGAACGGAGGAGCCAGGAUGGCGAUUGCCGUUCGUUCCGUUAAGACCGGAAUGAUGAAAUGAGGGCACCCGCGUAGCGGGCUGGAAGGGGGUGCCA
rfam:Hafnia alvei FB1, complete genome.